UGCGCAGGCGGUUUCACAAGCUCGAUGUGAAAGCCCCGGGCUUAACCUGGGAAUUGCAUUGAGGACUGUGGAGCUAGAGUGCGGCAGAGGGAGGUGGAAUUCCACGUGUAGCAGUGAAAUGCGUAGAGAUGUGGAGGAACACCGAUGGCGAAGGCAGCCUCCUGGGCCGACACUGACGCUCAUGCACGAAAGCGUGGGGAGCAAACA
rnacentral:rRNA from 1 species